AACUCUGGUUUCUCUUUAGAUCAUGUAAAUCUUUCACCUUUUACUAGAGAUUUCCAUGGAGAGGAACAUUUGUAGAAAGGCCCUGAAGACAUGGCUCUGCCACCAUGCCUGAGGG